rnacentral:rRNA from 1 species
ACAAGUACCGUGAGGGAAAGUUGCAAAGCACUUUGAAGAGAGAGUUAAAGAGGACGUGAAACCGGCGAGGUGGAAACGGAUAGAGUCGGCGUAUCUGACAUGUAUUCAAUUCCUGUCGUCUCGUUGCUCAGUUGUUUGGACUCCAGAUUGGGACAACAAUUUUGCUUACACGGGAUAGCCAAGGGAUGCAUUUACAUGUGGAGUGCGUGCAGGCAUCUGCAGAGGCGGUGCGGUCUCCGUUUUGAGGCCAACAUUUUGUUGGUACCCGGGCUGUGGGAGUGCCGUUCUCUGUAAAUGUGUACACGCGCGUACGGGUUUCGGGCUCGGUUGGGUGUCGCGCUGGCGGUCGGUGGCGGUCGCGUGCGACGCGCGCUGUACAGUCGGUUCGCUCUUGGUCGAGCUCGCGUGCGCGCUCUCCGCGUAAAAGCUGGUCAUCUAUCCGACCCGUCUUGAAACACGGACCAAGGAGUUUAUCGUGUGCGCGAGCCAUUGGAUGGUCAAAAUUCAUAGGCGCAAUGAAAGUGAAUGCUCUCGCAAGAGGCAAAUGUGCGACCCCCGGCGCUUCGGCGUUGCGGAGCAGCAUGGCCCCACCCUGACUGCUUGCAGUGGGGUGGCGGAAGAGCGCAUGCGGUGAGACCCGAAAGAUGGUGAACUAUUCCUGAGCAGGAUGAAGCCAGAGGAAACUCUGGUGGAAGUCCGAAGCGGUUCUGACGUGCAAAUCGAUCGUCUGACUUGGGUAUAGGGGCGAAAGACUAAUCGAACCAUCUAGUAGCUGGUUCCUUCCGA